rnacentral:rRNA from 1 species
UACAGAGGUCUCAAGCGUUGUUCGGAUUCAUUGGGCGUAAAGGGUGCGUAGCGGCGCGGUAAGUCGGGUGUGAAAUCUCGGAGCUUAACUCCGAAACUGCAUUCGAUACUGCCGUGCUUGAGGACCGGAGAGGAUAGUGGAAUUCCCAGUGUAGUGGUGAAAUACGUAGAGAUUGGGAAGAACACCAGUGGCGAAGGCGGCUAUCUGGACGGUUUCUGACGCUAAGACGCGAAAGCGUGGGGAGCAAACAGG